GCAAACAACCGCCACUCAGGGGUCUGCGGUGCUGCUAGCUUUAAGUGAGGCAGGGGAUCAAAUGGUCAAACAUUCCCUCCCUACUGUGACACGUCGCGCCCAGAAUGGGGAUUCCAUAGAGGUUGAGAUACUACCCCUGUCUCUCCAGAUGAGAGGCCUUUAGGCUCCAGGAAUGAAACCAUGGCAGGUUAGGGAAGGCUUCUAAACAGUGGUGGUCCUUGCUGUCAGCUUUGGAGGAAUAAGAGGAGGAGUUAGCAGAUGUAUGAGGAAAGGCCUUCGAGGCAGAGAGGUUAGCCUGUGCAGUGACAUGAGAGUCAGGGGAUCUGAGGCAGAAGAUGAGGUUCUCAGAGAUCAAAAUGGCUUUGCCUGGAAAAGAGAGAGGCCUGGUACAGAUCCUUCCCUGGUGGCCCUUCAGAAGAAUCAACCCCAAGUCCAGCUUGCUCUCAGACCUAGCUUCUAGCACUGUGAGAAAAUGACUUUGGACGGUUUAAGUCACCUAGCCUGUGAUACUUUGUUUGCAGUCCCAGCAAACUAAUAAAGCACGUUGGAGUUCCAGCUCUGCUACAUCUCAGCUGUGCAAACUCGGGUUCUUCGGGAUCUCGCAGAGCACCACCGGGAUAGAUAUCUCAAACACGUUUGAAGAGCUCACGUUUCCUAAGUAAGACAGCAGCAGCAAGACGGCAAUCAUUUCUGCAGAGACAGUAUCAUCAUAAUGCAAUAUUAGCUACUGUGAUCUUCUAUCAUUUCCUUCCUGGAGAGUUAUGACUGUGGCAUUGAGGAUUUAAGACCUACAGCCCGAACACUACUUACUACAAAUCUCUCACAAAGCUGCGGCAAUAAAUCUCGUGGAGGAAAGUCAUUGCAUAAAAAAAUC